rnacentral:rRNA from 1 species
UGGGGAAUUUUGCACAAUGGGGGGAACCUUGAUGCAGCGACGCCGCGUGAGGGAUGGAGGCCUUCGGGUUGUGAACCUCUUUCGCUCGUGUGCAAGCCGCUAUUUGGGUAGUGGUGAGUGUAGCGGGUAAAGAAGCGCCGGCUAACUACGUGCCAGCAGCCGCGGUAAUACGUAGGGCGCGAGCGUUGUCCGGAUUUAUUGGGCGUAAAGGGCUUGUAGGCGGUUUGUCGCGCCUGUCGUGUAAUCCUCUGGCUUAACUGGGGGUGUGCGGUGGGUACGGGCAGGCUUGAGUGCGGUAGGGGAGAGUGGAAUUCCUGGUGUAGCGGUGGAAUGCGCAGAUAUCAGGAGGAACACCGGUGGCGAAGGCGGGUCUCUGGGCCGUUACUGACGCUGAGGAGCGAAAGCGUGGGGAGCGAACAGG